AGCAGCCGCGGUAAUUCCAGCUCCAAUAGCGUAUAUUAAAGUUGUUGCAGUUAAAAAGCUCGUAGUUGAAUUUCGGGAUCAAUAUAUCGGUCGUGCCUUGGUACGUACUGGUAUCAUUGGUUUCUCCUUUCUGACGAACCAUGAUGUCAUUAAUUUGGUGUUAUGGGAAGUUAGAACUGUUACUUUGAAAAAAUUAGAGUGUUUAAAGCAGGCUUUGGCUUGAAUACAUUAGCAUGGAAUAAUGAAAUAGGACGUUCGAACCUAUUUUGUUGGUUUCUAGGAUCAACGUAAUGAUUAAUAGGGAUAGUCGGGGGCAUUAGUAUUCAAUUGUCAGAGGUGAAAUUCUUGGAUUUAUUGAAGACUAACUACUGCGAAAGCAUUUGCCAAGGAUGUUUUCAUUAAUCAAGAACGAAAGUUAGGGGAUCGAAGACGAUCAGAUACCGUCGUAGUCUUAACCAUAAACUAUGCCGACUAGGGGAUCGGAUGAUGUUAAUUUUUUUAAUGACUCAUUCGGCGCCUU
rnacentral:misc_RNA from 1 species